CCUACGGUGGGCUGCAGUGAGGAAUAUUGGUCAAUGGGCUUACGCCUGAACCAGCCAAGUCGCGUGAGGGAAGACUGCCCUAUGGGUUGUAAACCUCUUUUGUCAGGGAGCAAUUGGCGCUACGUGUAGCGUUAUCGAGAGUACCUGAAGAAAAAGCAUCGGCUAACUCCGUGCCAGCAGCCGCGGUAAUACGGAGGAUCCGAGCGUUAUCCGGAUUUAUUGGGUUUAAAGGGUGCGUAGGCGGCCUUUUAAGUCAGCGGUGAAAGUCUGUGGCUCAACCAUAGAAUUGCCGUUGAAACUGGGGGGCUUGAGUAUGUGUGAGGCAGGCGGAAUGCGUGGUGUAGCGGUGAAAUGCUUAGAUAUCACGCAGAACCCCGAUUGCGAAGGCAGCCUGCCAAGCCAUGACUGACGCUGAUGCACGAAAGCGUGGGGAUCAAACAGGAUUAGAUACCCUUGUAGUC
rnacentral:rRNA from 1 species